rnacentral:rRNA from 1 species
AUUGAACGCUGGCGGCAGGCCUAACACAUGCAAGUCGAGCGGGGUUUUCGGACCUAGCGGCGGACGGGUGAGUAAUGCGUAGGAAGCUACCCGAUAGAGGGGGAUACCAGUUGGAAACGACUGUUAAUACCGCAUAAUGUCUACGGACCAAAGUGUGGGACCUUCGGGACACAUGCUAUCGGAUGCGCCUACGUGGGAUUAGCUAGUUGGUGGGGUAAUGGCUCACCAAGGCGACGAUCCCUAGCUGGUUUGAGAGGAUGAUCAGCCACACUGGAACUGAGACACGGUCCAGACUCCUACGGGAGGCAGCAGUGGGGAAUAUUGGACAAUGGGCGCAAGCCUGAUCCAGCCAUGCCGCGUGUGUGAAGAAGGCCUUCGGGUUGUAAAGCACUUUCAGUAGGGAGGAAGGGCGUUGUGUUAAUAGCACAGCAUUUUGACGUUACCUACAGAAGAAGCACCGGCUAACUCUGUGCCAGCCGCCGCCGUAAAAC